GUCUGCAACCUACACCACAGCUCACGGCAACGCUGAUCCUUAACCCACUGAGCAAGGCCAGGGAUCAAACCCGCAACCUCAUGGUUCCUAGUCGGAUUCGUUUCCGCUGCUCCACGACGGGAACUCUGCAAAGGAGUUUGCUUGAGCUCCCAAAAUCACUUAGGUGGCUACCAUUGCCUGUGGUUACAAUCAAAUCUUUAAAGAUACUCCAUUCUCUUGGUGAGAAUUGCAGCCUUCUCUACCCCAAAACUUCACUCCCCUCAGAGACAGAGGCGAAGGCACCAGGCUUUCACCCAGGUUGGUGAAAGGUGUUUUGGAUGAGAAAUUCAUCUUAGUUUUGUAUUGCUUUUGUCUCCCUCUCCUCCCCUCCCAGUAGGUCUCUGAAUUGAAACCGUGGAUUGAACACUACUGCAGUUAAGACAGAAACACACGUUCCUCCUCACCCUGUACCGUUCUCAUGUCUACCUGCUCCAGGCCACCGGGAUCCUGAGUCCAUUUCUUCCGAUCCUUACCAAACCCAUCAAAUCCUGGUCUGUGAUACAACUUUGCUGUCCCCCAUGUCCUAAAUCAUUCCAAAGGCCCGACGCACAAAACAGCCAACGGGGUGGAAGUGAACGGAGGUAGACAGCAAUUUCUGUCUCCUUUCUGUAUAUACCUCUGGGAACACAGACAUGCCUUGGAGAUAUUUUGUUACAGAAGAAUUUCAACCAAACAUGUGAUAAAAUGUAUUUCAUUCUGCAGCUUAUCUAAAAAUGAGAAUGUUGUUGGUACUGGAUGGUUUCACACACCUAAGUGUGAAGAGAUUAGCUGCCAUGUAUCCUCGGGCAGUUUACGGUCAUGAUUUUUUUUUUCUUCUUAAGCUGGUUUUUCAAGAGAAGCGGUGGUCGGCUCCAUCGCCCCCAUGGAUUUAUGGAUAGCAGACACCCUGUGCAUUUUUUAAUGGGACUUGAGUACUAAUUCGUUUCUUCAAACUGUCAGGAAUGUCACACUAGUUAGAUUAGAUUAACCGACAUUUAUAAAGCACCUACUAUGUGAAAAGCACUGCGCUAAAUAUUUUCAUCUGUAUUAUUUAAUACCCAUAUCCACCCUAUGAAUUAUUACUGUUAUCAUCAUUUUUUAAAUACAGGGACUCAGCUUAAGGAGAUCAAUUGAUUUUUCCCAUGUUUACAUGGAUGGUAAUUUACAGAGCCGAGAUUAGAAUUUAUAUCUUCCGACUCCAUGUAAAAACCUCUUUCUGUUCUAUGUCAAGCUAGGAUAGGAAAGUGUGGCCACAUUUUUAAAUAAGUUUGCCACUAAUAACACAGGAUGUAUAUAUUCCCGAAGACAUCAAUUCUUUGUUCGUAUUCCAAGGAAGUACUUUCAAGGGUCUUAUUGUUUUGCAGAGGAGCAACAGGAACUUCUAUUUUAAAUUUCAAAUGCUCUCCCAAUUUCCUUACCCAAAUUGCCUGCCAUUAGAACCACAAGAUUAGCAUUCAGGGAUGAGAUGUUCUCUAGGAUUGGAACCAGUCAUGGCUGGGAAAAGAAAACAUAUCCAACUCCUGACUAAGAUAAUAGGGACAGGAAUUGGGUGCAUAACUGAGGGCUGCAGUGAAUCCUGUUUUUUUGUUUUAAUUUUAGCUACCACUUUCCAGCUUUUUCUAAAAAUUAAUUAUUUUUCUCACUUCCACUCAGAAGUAAAGUUAAAUAUCAUAUGUUAGAAUUAAGUUCCGUUAUGGUGAAGAGUAAUCCUCAAAUGGUGAGUUACAUGGUUAAUUUCUGUCUCAUAUAAAACCAGUCUGGGGAGUUCCCAUUGUGGUGCACUGGAAAUGAACCCGACUAGUAUCCAUGAGGACUUGGGUUCGAUCCCUGGCCUCAUUCAGUGGGUCAAGGAUCCUGUGUUGCCGUGGCUGUGGCUGGCAGCUGUAGCUCCAAUUCGACCCACCCCAGCCUCGGAGCAUCCAUAUGCUGCAGGUGUGGCCCCAGAAAGCAAAAAAAAACAAAAACAAAAUCAAAAACCCAGUCUGGAGAUGGCCAGCCCAGGAGAGAGAUGUUGGCUCCCAGGCACCAGGACCCAGGCUUUCUUUAGAAGCCACAUCGUAGUCUCCCUGGCAUGUGGCCUUUGUGCUCCUGUCUCAGACGGCUGUGGGCAACACGAUCACAGACACGUUUCAAGCAGCAGGAUGGAAGACAGGAGGAAUAGAACUUUUCUCUCCUUUCAAAGACAGUUCCCAGUCCUACUGAGCAGCACAGGGGAGUAUGUGCAGUCUUUCGGGACAGACCAUGAUGGAAGGUAAUAUAAGAAAGGGAGUAUGAUUGACAGGGUCACUGCUGUACAGCAGAAAUUGGCACGACAUUGCAAAUCAACAACACUUAUUUUCCCUUUUUUUAAGGGUCACGCCUGUGGCACAUGGACAUUCCCAGGCUAGUGGUUGAAUCAGAGCUGCAUCGGCAACACACACCACAGCCAUAGAAACCCUGAUCCAAGCUGCAUCUGUGAGCUACACCACAGCUUGCAGCAUCACUGGAUCAUUAAUGCACUGAGCGAGGCCAGGGAUCGAACUCGAAUCCACAUGGAUACUAGUCAGGUCUUAACCUGCUGAGCCACAACAGGAACUCCAAAAUCAACUCUACUUUAAUUUAAAAAAAGAUUAACAGUGGAAGAGACUUCCCAGAAGUCUCAUGGGACACUGACCCCAAUAUCAAGCAUUAAUGCCACGGGAAGCUGGGAAAUGUAGUCUUAAGUGAACGUGUCAAUAGGUCUACUGGAAAUAAAGGUUCCAUUAAUUUAAGAGAGAAAUUGAAGCUGUGUCAUGGUGGCAAUGAGGAAAAUCUAUCUCAUCUUCAGCUACUUUUAAUUUCUUGGGGUGCACAAAAGUAAUGGUGUUUGAUGAAGGGACCAAAACGCUGGCAAUUAGAAAGAGAAGCCUCAAAGCCAAAGGGUAUGACUUCCUGGAUAACUGCAAGCAGAAUGAGAACUCGUUGAAUUUAAUAACGUGCACUAUUGGAAAGUGUGGGAGAUUUUGCACAGAAUAAGAACAGUGGAAUAGCCAGACCUAUGCUUCUGUAGGUUCUGACACGGCCUAAGAGAGCUACGUAAAAGAGAGGGAUCAUUUCUCUGAUGAAAACCACAGAUGCCUGUCCCCAGACAUCUCAGCUUUCAGUGUGAGUCUGUGUGGCCUGUGCAUACAUUCAUUUUUGGAAGCUAGGUUUGAAUCUACUCAAUCUUCGAUCUCUCUCUCGGUGUAAUGAAAAUCUAUUACCAGCUAUGUAAAUUAGUAUGUGCUUGAGUUGUCCAGAAUUGAUCUCCGUCCAGCUUCAAGAACCUCUCUUCUGACUUGGAGAAUAGACUUGUGGUUGCCAAGGCGGAAGGGCAGGAGGGGGAGGGCCUGGUAGCUUGGGGUAAAUAGAUACAGAAUGUUGCCUUUGGGAUGGAUUAGCAAUGGGAUCCUGCUGUGUAGCCCUGGGAACUCUGUCUAAUCAAUUAUGAUGGAGCAUGACAAUGUAAGAAAAAAGAAUGUAUACAUGUAUGUGUGACUGGGCCACCAUGCUGGACAGCAGAACAAAUAUAAAUAAAAAUAAAUGAUUAAAAAAAAAAGAAAAAAAAAAAGAACCUCUCUUCUGAGCUACCUAGUAUUCUAGGCUGUGGUGAAUAAGAUUUGGCUCAUUCUAGUUAGUUUGGGAGGAAAAGUCACAUACUGCCUCUGCCUACCCUGAUAUUUCACUUGGUCCCCAUGGGUCCUGCUAUUCCCUUUCCAAAAGGAAAAUAGAAUAAAUCUCCAUUAGUUUUGUUUUGUUUUUUUUUUUUUUUAAAAAGCCCUCAUCGUCAUCUUCAUCAAUGUUUUUCUCCCACGCAACCACAAUUUGUCCUCACUGACGGCGCCCUGACUACCGCAGAAACUAGCAGGAAAAGGAUGAGAUUGAAUCUAAACAUCCAAGACUCCCCGACUGACUGACUUUUUUUCUCAUCUUGGCUCAGCGAUAACUAUGUGACGUUUUAUCUCCCUGGGCUUCAGCUGACUCGAUUGUAAAACGAAUGCGCUUGGGCUUGAUGGUUCCUACAACCCCUUCCAACCCGAGAAAAGUCAGAGAUCCCGUGCCUCUAAGGCACCGGAUCUGAUAAAAAUGUUUUCAGGAAGUCCCAUUCUUCUAACCCACAGUCGUGAACUGACGUGUCUAUUCCUAAGGCUCCCCUGCGAACCGCAAAGGGAAACCCAGUUGUCCAGCCACCUUGUGGCCCGAAAGGUUCUCCAUUCUCUACACUCCUCAAGACUGAAAAGAAAUGACCCCAUGGUGGGACUUACACACAUUCGAUUCUCCAUUAGCUCAGCCAGGGAAGUAUAACGGCAUGGCUAAACGCAGAAUACAAUUAAUUAAGAAGCACUCAUAUCUCGUUCUGGCAAUGUUUUGUAGAGUACUGAUUUCCGCAUAACUAUAAUAGUCUUUUGUCAAAAAAAAAUGACAAACACCUGUAUAUUCUGAUGCAUCCAGAAAGAAUUCCAGCUGGAAGAAAGUAGCCACGAAAGGGUGGUAGUUAAUCCUUACGCAGAUAGUUGAGAAAUGGAAUUUUAUCUACCAUAGUCUAUCAAGCAGGACUCUGACCCAUUGACAACGCUGUACAUGGCACCACAUAAUUGAGAACUUAUUCUGUUCAAACAAAACCUUGUGCCAGAGCAACUUGUACAUGCAGUGAGGUCUAUUUGUCUUUGGGAAGUUUGCAACUAGUCAAGGUGGACUCUUGGUACAUUUAAAACGUUCACAAAUAAGGAUAAUAAUGGUUCCUCUGCUGUAUCAAUAAAUCACCACAGUUCCUAUGUGGAGAGACUGACAGCAGCUGUCAGAUCAGGGUUUCUUUGAAAUGCCUUAUAAAUACCAUCUAAAGAGCCAGAUUGUUCUUUAACAGCCUUGUUAUCCUAAUGAAAUCACUCUGCUUCCUCAUCUUUGCUCCAGACACCGCCAAGGUUGGGCAAAGGAAGCCCCAUCUCCCCAAAUGACUCUAAACACCAAGUUCGGGUGACAGAUUCAUGAUUGGAUCUGCCUCCCCAUUAAUUUAUUUGCAGGAGACACCUGUGCCAGUAACCUCGUUAGGGCUUGGAGCUUGUCCCUAGAAAGGCAUGCCUUUCCUCGCACUGAACCCGCUACCCAUAAUUCUUAAUUACUCUCUAUUGCCUGGUGGGGAAAAGGCACAUGGCAUGGAAAAUUUUAUAGGGUCUAAUCAUUAACCGGCUCUGUUCUUGAGCAGAGGUUGCGUGUUGGAGAAAACGGUCUGUCUCAAUCCCCCAGCUGCUUUCAAACUCAUUGGCCAGAGGAAUUUUCCACGUGCAUUUUCUGCCUGAGAACCAUCUCCUCCAAGACAACAGCACACAUUUUCAGAGCACUUCACUCGGCCUCAUGUCACGUGCUGCUUUAAGCCUUUGCCUAGAAUUCACUGGAUUCCUCGGCAACUCCCAGAAGGAAAUGCUUAUUAUCAUUCUAAUUCUACAGAUAGAAAACUGUGUCCCAGGCAAGUGUCACUUGCCCCGGUGGUAAAGCCAGGAUUCAAAGCCAAGGUGUCUGGCUCUUCCAAUCAUGUCCUUCUCCCUCUAGAAAAGAGACUUCGUGAAAGGACACACAGCUUGUGAAUGUAGCCUUCUUACUUGUGAAUAUUUAUCUGAACUGUGCUGGGGAUAAAGGGAGAUCUGAGAUAUCCCUCAAGCAUCAAAAAACCAAACGGAUGGGCAGAAAAUACUCCAACUUAAAUUCUAGCAGCUGAAAGUCUAUUUUAGGCAUUAACUUUUACCCUCCAGUCCUGUGAUUCCCGACCUGGGCUGCUCAGUGGAAUCACUCGAGAAGCUUUAAGGAAUUCCAAUGCAUCGUCCUCGUGCAGCCCCCAUGCUUCUAUCACCAAUCUAUCACCUAUCUCUAGUUCUAUUUAUCUGUCUCUAUCACCUCCUUCUAGCUCUGUCUCUAUCAUCUAUCCCUACCCUGUGUACCUCUAUUAUCUAUCUCCAUUUAUCUGCCUCUAGCUAUCUCUCAUCUCUCUGGCUACACAUCUAUCACCUACCACGGCACAACGUCAGACAAUGAAAAUGCACACAACUGAAAACAAGAACAAGAAUAGGGGUUGAAGGACAGAGGGGUUAUUUUGAAGAGGGUGUCACUUUCCAAGGAGGUGAUUUUGAGCAGAACCUUGCUUGAAGUGAGGGAGCAAGCCUUGCUGAUGUCUGGAAGAAUUAAUGUUUCAGGCAGAAGAGACUUCAAGUGCGAAGACAGCACGGCACAAGCUUACUCUCAGGGCUCAGGGAGGCUGGAGGGCACUGAGGUGAGGUGGAGACUGGCCGGGGGUGAGGUCCAAGGAGUGGCCUGAUGGGAGGAGCCGGGGAUUUUUUUUUUAUUCGUUUUUAUUAAAGUGUAGUUGAUUUACAGUGUUCCUUCAAUUUCUGCUGCAUAGUAAAGUGAGCCAGCCAUACACAUGCCUUCUUUUUUUUUUUUUUUUUUCAUCUUCUAUCAUAUUCUAACCCAAGUGACCAGACACAGUCUCCUGCGCUGUACCGAGGGGCCCAUCACCCGCCGGUUCUAAGUGUAACGCGCUGCAUUUACCAACCUCAAGCUCCGCACCCGU
rnacentral:lncRNA from 1 species